UACGUAGGGCGCAAGCGUUAUCCGGAAUUAUUGGGCGUAAAGAGCUCGUAGGCGGUUUGUCGCGUCUGCCGUGAAAGUCCGGGGCUCAACUCCGGAUCUGCAGUGGGUACGGGCAGACUAGAGUGCGGUAGGGGAGACUGGAAUUCCAGGUGUAGCGGUGAAAUGCGUAGAUAUCUGGAGGAACAUCGGUGGCGAAGGCGGCAUCCUGGACCGGUAUUGACGCUGAGGCGCGAAAGCCAGGGGAGCAAACGGG
rnacentral:rRNA from 1 species